CAUUAGCUCAUCGCUUGUGACGAGCGUAACUUUGUUUUUACAAGCACGGGAAGACAGAAAGUGGAUCAUUUUAGUUGAAUUAAAGAAAGAAGUCAUCACAAACAUGAGCUAGCUAACUUGGCGAGGCAGAUGGAGCGUAGCACUGCUAGUCUGCGCCACACUGAAGCACAAUGAGUCCUUAACGCCAGCCCAGGACCCAUUUAUGCACGAAAAUAUGGAGAAGCUGCUUCUGGUGUGUUUGACGUAGAAGCAUCUGGAAGGAAAUACCGUAAAAGUCCACUCCCCAAGAACGAGUUUUCCGAGGCACGUGAACCAAUUAAAGUUAUAUCCCGAGGUACUUCUAAGAUGGCGCCAAGCAGAGGGUAGGCGGGCACGGCGGUGGGCGUGGCAGCGGCGGAGCGGAUGGCGUUGUAGACGGCUCGCCCUCGGCCCCUCAGCGCCGAGCCGCGGUAGGCCAGAGCGGGCGCCGCCAUGGGGUAGGGGAAGCUGGCCACUGAGGGACAGAAGACGGUGAGGAGUACGUCAUGUUGGAACAGCGUGUUGCGUUCACUGACCCGUGUAGAGUUCGGGUGCGUACAUGGCGCCCAUGACCGGGUUGAUCUUCCAGCCGGAAGCUGCGGGCAAGAACAGCUUUUUGAUUUUCUUUCUUUAGCGUCGAGAAGGCAAACUUGUCUUUACCCGACAUGUCGCCGCUCACCAGCGCCGUCUGCGGCUUCUUGGUGACUACCCUCGCCGUGGCGUUGUUCACCUGAGGGACCAUGAAGGCAACACAAUAGGACCAUGAAGGCAACACAGUAGGACCAUGAAGGCAACACAAUAGGACCAUGAAGGUAACACAAUAGGACCAUGAAGGCAACACAAUAGGGCCAUGAAGGCAACACAAUAGGACCAUGAAGGCAACACAGUAGGACCAUGAAGGCAACACAAUAGGACCAUGAAGGAGUAAUACUGGGUGUGUUAAAGGGGAUGCUCUAUCGCCACGGCAACCGACUCGCCUCGAUCUUCCUCCCUUCCACGAUGGUGCUGUUCAGUUUUUCCCUGGCCCGGUCGGCUUCGGCGGCGCUCUCGAAGGUCACGAAGCCGAAGCCCUGCGUGUGUUGGAGACCUCGGAUCUUCCCAAAUUGCUGAGGGAGAGAGAGAGAGAGAGAGAGAGAGGUUGUUAUGGCGACGGCGGCGGAGGCAGGACGCCCGGCGGUCCUCACCCCGAACAUCUGCCGGAGGUCAGGGUCUCGGAAGCGGAAGGGUAUGUUGGAGACGUGCAGGCGCUUGGGCUGGGCCGACCCCUCCUCCUCCUCGCCGCCGCUGCCCGCGCCGUCUAACGUCACUUGGAGGUCGGAGGUCACGGGGGCGUCGUCCUGAAAGGCCCUCCUUACCGUGCUGCUGGACAUCAGUGGCUCCGCCCCCUCGAGCUGGGGGCCCUGGUAGACCCUCAGCUGGGGGAGCUCGGGGUACUCUGAGGCGGGGUGAGCGGGAGUAAACUCCAGAGGCGGCAGCCGCCCCGCAGAGGUCGCCGACCCUUGACCUGGGACAGGUUGGCAGCUCGGGGUCAGAGGUGGACCACCUGGUGGCUGCUGGGACAGACCACGCCCACUGCAGGAACAAUUGUCUGGCAAGGCUGUGGGCGAUCAGCAAUCUGCACACCUGGGACUGAUGAGGUUGAGCGGUAUAAAGACCAGUGGACCCAAGGAUCCUAGCCGGAACUUAAUCCUGUUAACGUUUGCUUCCCGUGUCCUCCAUCUUCCAGCCUGGACUUUGGACUGCCUCCCUCGAUCCUCGACCCCCGCUUUGCAUACGGACACCUUGACGCCUCUCUCAGACCCACGGACCUACCGCUUGUCUCACGGACCUUCUGCUUUGUCCUUCCUCUCGCCCAACACAUCACGGAAGUCCAUAAGGCUGCAGGAUGACGGCGGGCGAGGAGAGCAUAGCCACAGACUACUGGCACGUGUGAAGAGACCAACUGGAGGAGAAGUCCACAGAAAAGGGAGUAUAAAAGAAGCAGCAGCAGCAGCAGGUGGAGGCCAAGUGAGUGUUGAACAUGACGGACAGAAACACCUGCUGAGGCUCUUGUUUCAGCGUUGUAAAAAUAGUCAUGUCCUUGCUGCUUACACACAUGCAGCACAACACUUCUUAUCACACUAUUUCACGCCUUCAAAAUAAGAGCCCUGUACGCGCCACCUCGGACUCCCAAGAUCUUGUAGGAGUCUCCAACUUUUUCCAGGCCAGAAACCCCCAAACUGACGGAGCAGGGCUGCCCCCAAACUCUGACAUCACCUGGACAAAGAUAAGACCUUCUGGAGGAAAGUUCUGUGGUCAGAUGAAACAAAAAUGGAGCUGUUUGGCCACAAUACCCAGCAAUAUGUUUGGAGGAGAAAAGGUGAGGGCUUUAACCCCAGGAACACCAUUCCUACCGUCAAGCAUGGUGGUGGUAGUAUUAUGCUCUGGGCCUGUUUUGCUGCCAAUGGAACUGCUGCUUUAAAUGGGACAAUGAAAAAGGAGGAUUAGCUCCAAAUUGUUCAGGACAAGCUAAAAUCAUCAGCCCGGAGGUUGGGUCUUGUUGGGUGUUCCAACAGGACAAUGACCCCAAACACACCUCAAAAGUGGUAAAGGAAUGGCUCAAUCAGGCUAGAAUGAAGGUUUUAGAAUGGCCUUCCCAAAGUCCUGACUUAAAGGUGUGGACAAUGCUGAAGAAACAAGUCCAUGUCAGAAAAGCAACACAUUUAGCUGAACUGCAGCAAUUUAGUGGUCAAGCAGAAGCUUGUGGAUGGCUACCAAAAGUGCCUUAUUGCAGGUAAACUUGCCAAGGGACAUGUAAGCAAAUAUUAACAUUGCUGUAUGUAUACUUUUGACCCUCACAUUUUCAGUAGACCCAUAAUAAAUUCAUCAAAGAAGCAAACUUCAUGAAUGUUUUAUGUGACCAACAAGUAUGUGCUCCAAUCACUACAUCACAAAAAAAUAAAGAGUUUUAGAAAUGAUUGGAAACUCAAGACAGCCAUGACAUGAUGUUCUU